UACGGAGGGGGCCAGCGUUGUUCGGAAUCAUUGGGCGUAAAGGGCGCGUAGGCGGCCGACCAAGUCGGAGGUGAAAUCCCUCGGCUCAACUGAGGAAUUGCCUCCGAUACUGUUCGGCUUGAGUCCUGGAGAGGGUAGUGGAAUUCCCAGUGUAGCGGUGAAAUGCGUAGAGACUGGGAAGAACACCAGUGGCGAAGGCGGCUACCUGGACAGGUACUGACGCUGAAGCGCGAAAGCUAGGGGAGCAAACAGG
rnacentral:rRNA from 1 species